rnacentral:rRNA from 1 species
AUUGAACGCUAGCGGGAUGCUUUACACAUGCAAGUCGAACGAGUGGCGGACGGGUGAGUAAUAUAUCGGAAGUGCCCAGUAGAGGGGGAUAACUACUCGAAAGAGUGGCUAAUACCGCAUACUAUCGGAUAACCCAGAUGGGAUUAGCUAGUAGGUGAGGUAAUGGCUCACCUAGGGGACGAUCCCUAGCUGGUCUGAGAGGAUGAUCAGCCACACGGGGACUGAGACACGGCCCGGACCCCUACGGAGGCAACGUGGGGAAAUAUUGCAAAAUGGGCGCAAGCCUGAUGCAGCCAUGCCGGGUGUAUGAAGAAGGCCCUAGGGUUGUAAAGUACUUUCAGUCGGGAGACGUUACCGACAGAAGAAGUACCGGCUAACUCCGUGCCAGCAGCCGGGGUAAAC